rnacentral:rRNA from 1 species
AACGAACGCUGGCGGCAUGCCUAACACAUGCAAGUCGAACGAACCCUUCGGGGUUAGUGGCGCACGGGUGCGUAACGCGUGGGAAUCUGCCCUUUGCUUCGGAAUAACUCAGGGAAACUUGUGCUAAUACCGGAUGAUGUCUUCGGACCAAAGAUUUAUCGGCAAGGGAUGAGCCCGCGUAGGAUUAGGUAGUUGGUGGGGUAAAGGCCUACCAAGCCGACGAUCCUUAGCUGGUCUGAGAGGAUGAUCAGCCACACUGGGACUGAGACACGGCCCAGACUCCUACGGGAGGCAGCAGUGGGGAAUAUUGGACAAUGGGCGCAAGCCUGAUCCAGCAAUGCCGCGUGAGUGAUGAAGGCCCUCGGGUCGUAAAGCUCUUUUACCAGGGAUGAUAAUGACAGUACCUGGAGAAUAAGCUCCGGCUAACUCCGCG